rnacentral:rRNA from 1 species
AACAAACGCUGGCGGCGUGCCUAACACAUGCAAGUCGUACGGGAAAGGGUCCUUCGGGGCCUGAGUAAAGUGGCGCACGGGUGAGUAACGCGUGGAUAAUCUGCCCUUCGGUUGGGAAUAACUCAUCGAAAGGUGGGCUAAUACCGAAUAAUGCUGUGAGACCUCGGUUGAUCAGCCAAAGAGAGCCUCUGCUUGCAAGCCCUCGCUGAAGGGUGAGUCCGCGUACCAUUAGCUAGUUGGUAGGGUAAUGGCCUACCAAGGCGACGAUGGUUAGCUGGUCUGGGAGGAUGAUCAGCCACACUGGAACUGAGACACGGUCCAGACUCCUACGGGAGGCAGCAGUGAGGAAUCUUGCGCAAUGGGGGCAACCCUGACGCAGCAACGCCGCGUGAGUGAGGAAGGUCUUCGGAUCGUAAAGCUCUGUCGGAUGGAAAGAACCGCAUAGGGGUAAACAGCCCCUGUGUCUGACGGUACCAUCAAAGGAAGCACCGGCUAACUCCGUGCCAGCCGCCGCCGUAACAC